CAGUAGGAGCCAAGACGGAAGUGGGGAGACAGUUUUCAACAAGAGAAAGACAUCAGCAUAAGAAUCACGAGCAAACGUGAGCGCCCAGCUUGAGAGCACCCAGCUUGAGAGCACCCAGCUUGAGAGCAAGGAAGAAUUCUGUCCUGAGGGGUGUGAGGCCACAGACCAGCAAAGCCAACACUUACGUGGAAUUCCUGGGGCUGCUGACAACAUGCAAAUCCUGAUGCCACCUGGCCAAAGCUACUGUGCCCUAGCCAUCCUGCUGGCAAUCGUGGACUUCCAAUGUGGUGGAUGCAUCCAUGCCACCAGCUCUGCAUCCCAGAAAGGAGGACAACUGGUCUUCACCUGCACUGUGUGGCACAAGAGAGGCGAAGCCGAGGGGCUAAUACUCUUCUGGUGCAAAGACAGGCCGUCGGACUGCUCUCCCGAGACCAGCUUAGAGCAGCUAAGGGUAAAAAGGGAUCCGGGGACAGGUGGCAGCAGUGAACAGCAAUCUCAGCUGGUGUUCACCAUAGAACAAGCCACACCAUCGGACAGUGGGACCUACCAGUGCUGUGCCCGAAGCCGGAAGCCAGACAUCUACAUUCAUGGUCAUUUUGUCACGGUUCUCGUCACAGGGAACCACACUGAGAUAAGAUCGAGACAAAGGCAGGACCAUAUCAACAGCACUCUCAGUUCAGACUUCCUGCAAGUAAAGGCCUGCAGGAUGCUGGUCACCAUCCUGGUGGCUCUUCAAGCUCUAUACACCUUGUGACAAAAAAAAAAAAACAAAAACAAAACAAAAACUUCAAAAGAAGGUACAGCAAGAUAAAUCUGACAACGCACAUGGGAAGAACAGGACAGGGAACAGAUGCUGAGUAGACCAAGAAUCUGGAAGGCCAGCAAGAUGGCUCAGCCAAGAACAGGAGCUUGCCUGCCAAGGUUCAGCUCAAACCUUUGCACCCACAUGGUGGAAGGAGAGAACUGACUCCCCCAAGCUGUCCUCUGACCUCCACGGGAGUGCCGUGCUCUGACCCCAAUAAAUAAAAUCAUUCCAGGGACCUGGCAGAGCGUUUGGCAUACUUCUGGAUCUUUCUUCCUUAUUGCCAGCACAAGUUUGCCUACUCCCGCCUCAUUGCCAAGAAAGAAAACAUUUUACAAGUGUGCCUGGUGUGCUGGCCUUAAAUACCAGGUGAGAAGACCCAUCCAGCACAUGAAUGCCACGUUUCUUGGACUAGACGCUGACCUGAAGAGUGAAGCGGGGGUGGAGAGAACUGGGCAAGUAGGCAUGCACGCUGACAUUCUCUCUCCACACAACUAAGGAUGUGACUAGCUGCUUCAAGCCCUGCCUUGACUUCCCCAUACUGACUGCAAGUCAAAAUGCAAGCCAAGCAAACCAUUCCUCCCCUAGAUUGCUUUUUGUGGGGCAUUUAUCACAGCAAUGGAAAGGAAACUAAGAUACUACUAGUCCUCUGAAGUGGGCACCGUAUCUAAGCUGUUCCACAUUUAAGGGUAAAGCAUUAUGAAAAUACGCUUUUAGUCUCAGGUCACACUAUGGUGUUCAAAGAAUAUAAAAUGUUCUUCCCUUCUCUUCUAGAAUGGUAGGCAGCUCUUACUUCUAGGUUAAACUAUGUCAAGAUACUAUAUGCCAUCCCACUAUAGUCUCUAAGCCAAUGUAGACAUUUAUUUACCAGAAAUUAAGUCUUGCUCAUGUGGCAUGAAAAGCACUCCAUGCCACUCCUGUGUUCCCUCCUUGUGAUGGUUAAGUCUAAGCACACUCUGAGUAGGCUGCAGGACCCCAAACAUUCAGUCAGACAUGACUUUUAGUGUUAUGUGAAGGUGGUUUUUGAAUAAAAUUAACAUUUGACUCAGUUAGAUAAAUAGCAGCAUAUUAUUCCGAAGCCCAAAUAAUUGAGAACCCGAAGUUAAAAAGGCUAUUCUCUCUCAAGUUUGGGGUGCUUUAACUCCUUCUGUCCAAAUGUCUGAACUGGAAGAUCUGUCUUCCCUGCCAGCAGAGCUGGAGUUCAUCAGCUCCCGCCUCGGGCCUGCGGGCUUUCAGACCAGAUCAUACAGGGCUGGCUUUCUGGUGUGCAGGCCUCAGACUUAACUAGAGGUGCACACACUGCUCUCCUGGAACUGCUAAGCCAUCAUCAUUGCACAAGCCAAUUUCUUAUGGCAAAUCUCUUUCUAGAUCAGCCAGUUGGUUCUGUUUGUCGAAGAACUCUAAUUCCUUAGCAUAAACUAACUCAAAUGUGUGAGGUGCCACCUAUUAUAAGAACAAUAAAAAUUGAGUAGGACAAGUCUGGGGAACCAUGAAAUACCUUAUGUCCUCUCAGAGACCACAAAGAAAUGAAAAUAUGUGGUCUAUGUGGUCUAUGUGCUAAGCUAUGUAUCAGACAGGUUGACCAGGGCGGCUGUUUUACUCUCUGAUCUGCAGGCAAGCUUUAUUUAUUAAAACACAAGUGAAACGCCACUACAGAUCCCUGCCUAGCAUUUUGUUUCCAUAUUGUGUAAAAUGAAUUUCUAGUCCCAGCUUCCCAGGUGUAACUGGAAACACAAUUGCCGGCCUGUCUUGGCAUCUCUGGACACUGAGCAGACGAACAGAGCUGCCGUAAGUUCUGAGACAACUGAUAGUGUUUUACUCAAAAACUGCAAUGUGCUCCAACUUCAACACAGCUUCCUCCAAGUUAAUGAUCAAAUAUUCAUAACAGAAUUCUUAUUUCCUCUUAUUCUCAUCCCAAUCCAAAGUCAUUGUGUAUUUUCAGGUUGUAUUUUAUGGCCUCACCACAAUAAACAGAUCACAAACACACACACAAAGAAACGCCCACAUGAAGGCAUAGCAUAUUUUUCAUUUCCUCUAAGUUAUUUAAAUUAUGUGUAUGUGGAUGCAAGUGUACACAUGAAGCACACAUUUUGGAGAAACUGGGGACUGAACCUAGGUCCUUAUACACACCAAGCAAGUGCUCUAUGCUAAUCAAUAUCCCCAGCCUCUUUUUAUUUUUUUAUUUUGAGAUGGAAUCUCACUAAGUGGUCUAGGAAGACUCUGAAUUCACUAUGUAGCUCAAGCAAACCUUUAAAUGGUGAACCUCCUGCUUCAGCCUUUCAAAUAGCUGGGAUCACACACCCAUACCACCAAAACUGGUUUUUGAACCAUACUCUGACCACACCCUUUAUAAGCAGGCUAUUAGUUCAGCAGGCAGGGAACUCUCUCAAUAUUUUGUUUUCCCUCCCCAACUUCCUUGUCCUCUAACAAAAUACAAAGACAUCUUUAACUCACCCACUUACCCCCAAACCAGAGUGUAAGUCAUCAAAAACUGAGCAAGGGCUUCUAGCCAAAAAAGAGACACAAUCAAACUGUAGUGAUCUUGUUCUGACUGCUCUGAACUACGAGAGCUAUAUGCAGCUGGACACCUUCAGGUCCUGUUUUGGUGCCAACAGCUAAUAGCAUCUCCAUUAUGUCCUUCUGAGACACUGAAGCUCAACACCAUUCUCACCAAUCUCCAUUUAUUCAGCUUUAAACAUGGACAGAACAUGUGUAUGGGCAGUGUUAGAACUUAAAGCGAGGUCUACCUUUCCCAGAGAAGUUGUUUUGGGCAUGAUUACAUUGAUCAGAUUGAUUCCAAGUAUAGGGAGAACUGAACAGAACAGGAAGAGUUUCACACAUGAAAAAUAGGCUUUACAAACUAAAACAGGCAACAUAAAAUCCCAAUCCCUAAAUAACAAUUAAUUAUCAAAAACGUGCCUUGGUAUAGAAGCACUAAUAAAAUAAUCCUAUUUUUCUGAGGGAAAUUAUUGUAAGGUCCCAAGUAUGAAAGACAGUAAACAAAGAGGUGAGGAUCAUCAAAAACAGUUCAGUAGUAAGGAUUUCCAACAUCUGUCCUUCUGUGUCUAUUAUGUGCUGCCCAACUUAAUGCCAAAAAGGAACCAAAAUCAGAUUUCUUCCAACCCAAGACUAAGACAUGCCAUGUUGGUUUUUAGGGAUACUGUACUUCCUGAAUUAAAAUAAGAAAAUCAAAGUGUAGAUGACUUUUCCUUCCCACUGUAAUUUCCCUUGCUUGCUCUCUGAAGAUCAAGGCAAGUAUUAUUGUCUCAGACUCCUGAGUUAUUCUUACCUUGCUAAUGUGGCCAAGAGUAGAUACUCUUGCACAAUUAAGACAGAACAACUUUAUAUAGGGCUCUGGCUCCUCUGUAUUUGCUGCAAAGUCCACUCCUGGUGGGUCAGAGAUUGGAGGAGGAGGUAGAGACAUCCAUUACAAGACAACAUGACAGCAGAACCCUAGCUAGACUUUAAGGAACUGAUUCUACUCAGGCAGGAGCAAACUGACAUAAUUAAG